UCAGACAUGGUGUAGUGGGAGCACGGCCUCUUCUUGUAAGCCGGUAUUGAACCGUCAGGGGCAGUUUGGGGUUCGAUUCCCUGUGUCUGAA